GAUGAACGCUGGCGGCGUGCUUAACACAUGCAAGUCGAACGGUGAAAGAGAGCUUGCUCUCUGGAUCAGUGGCGAACGGGUGAGUAACACGUGAGCAAUCUGCCCCUGACUCUGGGAUAAGCGCUGGAAACGGCGUCUAAUACCGGAUACGAGCUGCGAAGGCAUCUUCAGCAGCUGGAAAGAACUUCGGUCAGGGAUGAGCUCGCGGCCUAUCAGCUAGUUGGUGAGGUAAUGGCUCACCAAGGCGUCGACGGGUAGCCGGCCUGAGAGGGGGACCGGCCACACUGGGACUGAGACACGGCCCAGACUCCUACGGGAGGCAGCAGUGGGGAAUAUUGCACAAUGGGCGAAAGCCUGAUGCAGCAACGCCGCGUGAGGGACGACGGCCUUCGGGUUGUAAACCCCUUUUAGCAGGGAAGAAGCGAAAGUGACGGUACCUGCAGAAAAAGCGCCGGCUAACUACGUGCCAGCCGCCGCGGUAACAC
rnacentral:rRNA from 1 species